AACGAACGCUGGCGGCAUGCCUAACACAUGCAAGUCCAACGAGACCUUCGGGUCUAGUGGCGCACGGGUGCGUAACGCGUGGGAACCUGCCCUUAGGUUCGGAAUAACUCCCCGAAAGGGGUGCUAAUACCGGAUAAUGUCUUCGGACCAAAGAUUUAUCGCCUUUGGAUGGGCCCGCGUUGGAUUAGCUAGUUGGUAGGGUAAAGGCCUACCAAGGCGACGAUCCAUAGCUGGUCUGAGAGGAUGAUCAGCCACACUGGGACUGAGACACGGCCCAGACUCCUACGGGAGGCAGCAGUGGGGAAUAUUGGACAAUGGGCGAAAGCCUGAUCCAGCAAUGCCGCGUGAGUGAUGAAGGCCUUAGGGUUGUAAAGCUCUUUUACCCGGGAUGAUAAUGACAGUACCGGGAGAAUAAGCUCCGGCUAACUCCGUG
rnacentral:rRNA from 1 species